rnacentral:lncRNA from 1 species
GUCGGGAGGCCUCUGCGGGGCAGCGGUCGGGAGCGAGGCCACGGGGCGCCAGGUACAGCCGGCGGGACGUCCAGUGCCAGCGCAGGAGCCGGGCGAGGCCGUGGCCUCCAGGGUUCCUGGGCGGAGGACAAGGCGCGCAGCCGCGUUGGCGCGAGUUUUAAAUCGGUGCCUUCUCAGCUUUGCAAGUUCUUAUCAAUUGCUGCAUGCCAGAGGAAGUUUUUAAAAAAUGGCCCCCAGCUCUAUUGCGGUGUAAUUGAUGGAUAGAAAUUGUAUUUAUUUAAGGUGAACAGCUGGAUGAUGUGAUGGAGGCACGCAGGGUGGAGGGGUUACCACAGUCUAGGUACUCUACACAUCCAGAGCCUCCCACAGUUGACAAAUGGAUUUUCCUAAUCAGUUUCGUCGUGUUUUGUACUUAAGUUGAGGAUUCCACACCGUGUGGUACUUUCAGAAGAGAUGUAGUGGUGAAUCAAUCGCAACGGUAAGGGGAGCAGACCUGGACAUCUGAUACUUGAUCAGCAAUUCACCUUGCCUGAAAAUGUUUUGACUUUGUUUCAUGUUCCAAGUGCCGAAAUGAUCGCACGCCUCGUUAGAAGUUGAACGUUACUCUUUUCUUCAAAUGCAGGUUGUGAUGUUUUCCUAAUUAGGUAUUGAGAAUUACCAUUGGUAUUUGGAAUUAGAUUGCGGAGCAUUUAGGAACCGUUCUCGCUAUGUUGCCCAGGCUGGUCUUGAACUCCUCAGCUGAAAUGAGCCUCCCACCUCGGCCUCCCAAAGUGCUGGGAUUACAGGCGUCCCCUCUGCCCCAGUACUGUUUCCUCUCCCCAGCCCAGCCCCCACAGCUGCCUGCCCUGGCCUCACUCCCUGGCCUCCCCCAUCCCAGCCUCUGGGUCCCUGAGUCAGUCCCUGGGGCUGUCUGCCUUCUAGGGGAGCCUCUGGUGUGGACCAGAAAGUAACCUAAUCCCUUCCAGGCCCACCCUGGAAACAAAGGGAUUUGUCCACUAGCCUGGUGGUGAGAACCAUGUGGCCUCCUGUCUCUGGCAGAGAGGACUCCAGGAUCAAGGGCAGAGAUAGGAUCUUGCUAUGGUACCCAGGCUGGUCUUCAACUCCUGGGCUCAAGCAAUCCUCCUGCAUUGGCCUCCCAAAGUGCUGGAAUUACAGGCAUGAGGCAGCACGCCCAGCCCUAAUUACUUCUAUUACGCCAAAUUCCUUGUGUGGAAUUCCUGUGCUUUGCACACAAAUUGCCAGGUUGGCCCCAAAGGGGAAAAAAGUGGAUCCCAUUUUCCCAUCUUCUAUGCCUACGUGGCUGACAAAUCUCCCGAAUCCCACAGGAGCUGUCGCUGAUCUUUGUCCUCUAUUCGCUGAAAUAAAGUUCACCAUGGA